rnacentral:rRNA from 1 species
GGGAUAACAUUCUGAAAAGAAUGCUAAUACCGCAUGACAUAUCGGAACCACAUGGUUCUGAUAUCAAAGAUUUUAUCGCUUGAAGAUGGACUCGCGUCCGAUUAGUUAGUUGGUGAGGUAACGGCUCACCAAGACCGCGAUCGGUAGCCGGACUGAGAGGUUGAACGGCCACAUUGGGACUGAGACACGGCCCAGACUCCUACGGGAGGCAGCAGUGGGGGAUAUUGCGCAAUGGGGGCAACCCUGACGCAGCAACGCCGCGUGAAGGAUGAAGGUUUUCGGAUUGUAAACUUCUUUUAUUAAGGACGAAAAAUGACGGUACUUAAUGAAUAAGCUCCGGCUAACUACGUGCCAGCAGCCGCGGUAAUACGUAGGGAGCAAGCGUUGUCCGGAUUUACUGGGUGUAAAGGGUGCGUAGGCGGCUUUGCAAGUCAGAUGUGAAAUCUAUGGGCUCAACCCAUAAACUGCAUUUGAAACUGUAGAGCUUGAGUGAAGUAGAGGCAGGCGGAAUUCCCCGUGUAGCGGUGAAAUGCGUAGAGAUGGGGAGGAACACCAGUGGCGAAGGCGGCCUGCUGGGCUUUAACUGACGCUGAGGCACGAAAGCGUGGGUAGCAAACAGGAUUAGAUACCCUGGUAGUCCACGCUGUAAACGAUGAUAACUAGGUGUGGGGGGUCUGACCCCUUCCGUGCCGGAG